rnacentral:lncRNA from 1 species
UGGGGACGCUUUGCUGUGUCUAGGCUUCUCGAGAAAGUUCUGCUCCGCCCCGUGCAGCAGCGACUGCAGACCUUGAGCUUGGUCUUUUGGGCGGCUCACGACUCUCUCACAGUCGCGCCACCGACAGUGUUCAGGGUUGGCCUCUGAUUCCUAGGGUCUGAGAUGGAGCCAGUGACUUUAAAAAAAAAACUCGUGAGCGAACCUGGUGCCAGCCAAGGUUGAAGCCCCGUGGCUGUUUCAGCCCUGCUGUGCUGGGAAUGGUGACCGAACUGGAGGGCGUGUGGUUCCCCGCCCCAGACCUGGGGUUGGAGCACGGACGCGGGCCGCGGGUCCGCGAGAUGAGGUUGACCCUCCGAGCGCAAGCUCCUCCCUGUAGGUGUCCCUCUGGGAGCAGGACAGAGUUUGGCAUUUGCUCCGGGAACCUGCGGGACCGACUAGGCCGCUGGGGUGUGGGUGAGGACGGUCCCGCUGGGCGCCGAGUCCGCUGACUCUGCUUUCUCUGCACCAGCUCCCUGGCUAGGUUCUUACCGAGCCCAGGUUCAACCUCCCCAUGUAGUUUAGUCGUCCAGAUAGAUCACUUAGGACCUGACCAGUUAGCUGUUUCUUAAGUAGCCUGUUUCAACUAAUGGCAUGGUUUAUUAUUACAAGGGUUCUUUUUUGGGGGGUGGGUGCUGGGGAGCUCUUUGGGUAUUUUUUUUUUUCUUAUACUUAAAUUCGGAGAAUAUUUUACAGUACUCCCGUAUAUGGAAUUAGAAAAUUUCGUUUGGUUUCAUUGGCAGUUUUGUUGAGGUAUAAUCUACAUACCAUAAAAAUGCACCCAUUUUAAGUGUAUGAUUUAGUGAUUUUAGUGUACAGUCAUGUGUGGAUUUAUGAUAGGAACACUUCAACAAAAUGCGUUUCUUAGCCAAUUUCGACCAUGAUAGGGCAUGAACUAAGAGGACUACAUGGUCACUAAGCAAUAUAACUUUUUGGACCCCAUUGUAAAUGUGGUCAGUCCUUUACUGAAAAGUCAUUAUUCCACACAUGACUAUUUCCAGAAUUGUUCAACAGGAAAUCUUGAUAGCACCCCUACCACCACCACCACCACCACCACCACCACACACACACACACACACACACACACACAAUUUGACAUUCUACAGAUACGAUGUAACAUAAGGGCCCUUGAAAGUAUAUACUUAGGGCUGGGGUUGUGGUUCAGUGGCAGAACACUUGCCUAGCAUGUGUGAGGCACUGGGUUCGAUUCUCAGCACCUAUUAUCAAUAAAUAAAAUAAAGGUCCAUUGACAACUAAAAAAUAUUUUUAAAAAAGUGUAUACUUAGAUUAUGUCAUUAUCUGAACAAGUGAAAUUUAGAGGGUAAUUAAAACAUGUUCCUGUAAAUUGCAGGGAAUUAAACUAUUGUGUCUUACACUAUCUUUUUAAAAACAUAUACUAUUUCUUUUUUUUUUUUGAGACAGGGUUUCACUAGAUUGCUUAUAGCCUCACUGAAUUGCUGAGGCUGGCUUUGACCCUCCUGAACCUCUGGGAUUCCAGGUGUGUGCCACCACACCCAGCUUGACUGUUUGAACUGUCUCUUAUGCUGAGGAAUAUGGUAUAAACCCCACUGUACAGGUGAGAGUGUGAACUUUAAAGAAUAUUGCCUAAAGCUGUGUCUGGACAAGGCCCCAAACCAGAUGCCUUCUCUCUAAAUUUGGCACCUCAAACACCUUGAUAUGUCUAUGUAUGACCUCAGCGAGUACUUAAUAAGUGGCCACUGUGUGCCAACAGUACUGCUCUAGAUAAAAAUACUCUAGUGGCUUUACCACUGAACUACAUCCCCAGUCCAUUUUAUUUUAUAUUUUGAGACAAGGUCUUAUUAAAUUGCUGAGAUCCUCACUUAGUUGCUGACACUGGCCUCAAACUUGCAAUCCUCCUGCCUCAGCCUCCCAAGUCCUUUGGAUUACAGGCAUGCACCACCAUACCUGAUACAUUGAAGAUUUAACCCCUAAUUUGCUGAUGUUAUUGAAGGGAAGGCUUUUAUGAGAAGUAAUUAGGUUUAGAUGAGGUCAUGAAGGUGGGGCCUCAUGAUGGGAGAGAGAGAAACUAGAGCUCUCUGCUGUGUAAGGACAUAGUGAAAAAGCAGCCAUUUUUAAAAUGGGAAGAGAACACUCAUCAUGAUUGAAUGGCAUUUUGAUCUUGAACUUUUCUGGCUCCAGAUCUGUGAGACACAAGUGUCUUGUUAUAAGUCACCCAGUCUGUAUUUUGUUAUAGCAGCCCAAGCUAAGACUUAUGGCCUUGUUAAUGAUAAAAUCAGGUUAUAUAAUAGAAUAUAUAGUACAAUCCCAUUUAUCUUAGCACAGAAGGCCUUUCUAGGCACACUAUCAAAAAGUAUUCCCUCAUUUGAUCUCUGAUCACUAGUGCUUUACUCUAUUUUUAAAAUCACCACCUAAAAGUAUUUUAUGAAUUUUUAUAUUUGUUUACUGUCUCUUUUUUAAGUUCCAUUAGAGUUCUGCCUCUUUUAUUCAUCUUUAUAUACCCAAGGCUGGGAGAUACAGUUCUUAACAACAUUGUUUCAGGAAAACAAACAAAUUCCCACACAAAACAGCAUUCAUAUGGUUGUUUUAAAAUAAGACCACAAAUUAUUUGAUUUUCUUUUCCUUCAAAAGAUGGAAUCUAGCUUGAUGUGAUAGUGCACAACUGUAAUCCCAGCUACUGUGGAGGCUGGGGCAGGAGGACUGCAAGUUCAAUGACAGCCUGGGCAACUUAAUGAGACCCUGUUUCAAAAAAAAUUAAAAAAAAAAAAAAAAGGACUGGGGAUAUAUCUUGGUGGUAAAGCAAUUUGCUUAGUAUGUGUAAGGCCCUGGGUUCAAACCCCAGCAACACACACACACACACACACACACACAGCCAAUUCCCCUCCUUCUGAUUAGAAUAUGGUGGAAGUGGAAUUAUGUCAAUAGAUCACAAUUUCCUUCUUGCUGUCUCUUAGAUCAUUCACCCUGAGGGAAACCAGCUGCUGGGUCAUGAGGACAUAUCAAACAGAGCUAUUGUUAGGCUCAUGCAGUGAAAGACAAGUCUACUCCCAGCCAGUGGGGACUCAGGACUUUUGCCAACAGUGGUAUGAAUGAGCCACCUUGAAGCUGAUUUUUCAGCCCUAGUCAAUCCUUCAAAUGACUGCCUCUCCAGGUGACAUCUUAACAACAAUGUCACAAGGAGGCCCUGAACUGGAUCCUUCAAAUUCAAACUCUCAAAUUCUGUUAGAUAAUUUAUGGUUGUUGUCAUAAGCCACUAAGUUUCGGUGGUAGAAUGAAUAGACAGUGACUACACUCCCCCUUAGUACCUACCAUAAAGCAAAAUAGGUGUGGCCUAAACAGUAGCUAGCAAAGUUCUUUUCUAUUAGGAAUUGUAGAAUUCAUUAUUUGUAUAAUGUUCACUUUUUAAAAAGUGGGACAAUUUUAAUGUGGGGAAUGAAAUCACAUUCUAAUCUAUAUAUACUAAUCUGAUUUUAAGAUGAACACUGGAAUACACAGAUUUGAAAGGUUUGAUUUUAUGUAUAAGUUAAAUAUCCAUCAUGAUUUUAAAAUAGUGAAUUUUUAAAAAAUCUGCAAUUAUAAAUUUGUGUAUGUUUGCAUGUGUGUAUGCAUGUGUGAAGUUUUAUGGAUUAAACCCAGAUGCCUGCUACCACUGAGCUAAGUUGCCAAGGCUAACCUUGAAUGUGGCUCCUUCUGUUUCAGCCUAGGCAAGAGCUCUACUGUUGAGCUAUUCUAUCAGCCCUAGAGAUUUUAAAAUGCAUACUUGAUUUAUUAUAGUUUACUUCAAUACUUCUAUAACUUCUUCCACAAAUUAAGACUCUUAUGAUAGUUUAAUUGAAUUUAUCCCAUACCUACUGUGCUAUUUUUGCCAUGUUUACUUUUACACACAAUACAAAUCCCAUGAGACCUUAUUUUUAUUUUUUUAAAAUAUAUUUCUUUUAGUUGUUGAUGGAACUUUAUUUUUAUUUAUUUACAUGUGGUGCUGAGAAUCAAACCCAGUGCCUCACACAUGCCAGGCAAGUGCUCUACCACUGAGCUAUAACCCCACCCAGACCUUAUUUUUAUAGUCAUUAUUUUUAAUAUAAUUUUUUUAGUUGUAGAUGGACUCAAUACCUUUAUUUUAUUUAUUUUUAUGUGGUGCUGGUCCCCAGCACCUCACAUGUACUAGGCAAGUGCUCUACCACUGAGCCACAACUCCAGCCCCUUUAUAGUCAUUAUUAACUAUCAUGUUUAUGUCUGUUUCCCAAUACCAUUAUCUAUUGUCUGACUGCUUUGGUGUCUGUUAAAAUCAUCUGUUCUGGUGCUCUUUAAUUAAUUAAUUUAUUGUAGUGCUGGAAAUUGAAACCAGGACCUCAUGCUUACUAAGUAGUCACUCUACCAGUGAGCUAUAUCCCCACUGCACUGGUGUUCUUUAUUCCUAUAAUUCUCCAAUGAAAUUAUUUCCAGCAACCUGAAGAACUACUUUUUUAAAAAAUAUAUUUUUUGGUUGUUAAUGGAACUUUAUUUUACUUAUUUAUAUGCGGUGGGUGCUGAGAAUCGAACCCAGAGCCUCACACAUGCUAGGCAAGUGCUCUACCACUGAGCUACAACCCCAGCCCCUGAAGAACUACUUUUAAUGCUUCAGUUCCUAUAGCAGUGAAUUCUUCAGGCUUUUUGUUUAAUUUUCUUUUUUCUUAAAAACUUUCUUAUUUAAUGUUCACUCAUGGAUGGUAUUUUACUGGGUAUAGAAUUCUGGGUUUGAAGUUUUUUCUUUCAGCACAUUAAGAUAUCAUUCUUCUAUUGUCUGACUGCCUUGGUGUCUGUUAAAAAGUCAGCCGUCACUUUUAUACUCUUAUGGUUGUGCCUUUUAAGGUAAUGAGUCUCCCCACUCUUCCCAAUCCCUGUGGCUGCUUAUAAGAUUUUCUCUGUUUUUAAUUAUAAACAAUUUGAUUAUUAUGCAGACUCAUUCUUUCUCUCAUUUUGGGACUCCAGCUAUACACACACACACACACACACACACACACACACAUACACAUAUAUACACACACUCUAUAUCUACAUAUAUAUACACAUAUACAUACUUACACAAGCAUAUACACAUAUAUAUGAUUUUUUCUGUGUGUAUCACAUAUCUCCAGAGUAAUUUUGUGUGUGUGAUGGGGUGGGUACUGGGGAUUGAACCCAAAGGCACUUUGCCACUGAGCUAUAUCCCCAGCCCUUUUUAUUUUAUUAAAAAAAAUUUUUUUUAGUUGUACAUGGACAAUACCUUAUUUUAUUUAUUUAUUUUAUGUGGUGCUGAAUAUUGAACCCAGUGCCUCAUACAUGCAAGGCAAGCGCUCUAGCACUGACCUACAUCCCCAGCCCCUGUGACUAUAAUCCUAAGAAAGGAGGGGAUGUAGAAAAUAUGGAAAUACAAUUGAAACUAUAGGUAACUUUAGAAAUGGUAGUGAACUUUUAGAACAGAGAGAGAGAGAGAUGACCAUUCUAGCAAUUGGUAUUCAAAGCAAGAUCCAAGGCUGGGGUUGUGGCUCAGUGAUGCAGCACUUGCCUAGCAUAUGUGAGGCACUGGGUUUCUCAGCACCACAUAAAAAAACUAAAUAAAAUAAAGUUAUUAUGUCUACCUACAACUAAAAUAUAUUUAGAAAAAUAAAAAAUAAAGCAAGAUCAGUCAUAAAAUCAGUCAUUUGAGUAUCUAAGCUAUUUGAGUAUAGGAUGUCAAAUUUUCACAUAUAUUAUUCUUUGUUGCAAUAUAGUUACUUCCAGUUUCCUUCUAUUUCUAAAUCCAAAUUAAAGGAUGCCAUUGGGAAGUUAUUGUGGUAGAAGUAGUUCAGUCUGUGUGUGAUACCAUAAAUAUCAUAAUCAUCAAAGUAUUAUCCUAAAUCCUAUAUAUAUAUAUAUAUAUAUAUAUAUAUAUAUAUAUACAAAAAUUUAUUUCAUGAUGAAGAUUAGAGUAAAUUUUGAUUUGUUUUAAAAGAAAAAGAAUUUUUGUUACCUUAUAUUACUCUACACAAUAAUAUUGAUACGUGUUGAUUAAAUUGUUCCUUCUCUUCUCUAGGGAGAAUAAAAGGAAACAGUACAGCAUGGUUGACUGGAAGCCUUCCUGCCCUUGGAUGUGUGGAGAGAAAGUGCACAUCAUGCCUGAAGGUCUCUGCGAUACUGAAGAGAAGGCAUUGGGGAACUAGGACUGUGAGAGAGCUGAGAGUUGAGGUGGUGGUUAGAGAAUGAAUAUUGGAGUUUUAAAUUUCUAGUGUGUUGACAAAAUUUAGGAUUGUUUUUGUUUGGAUCUGGGUGUAGGUGAAGAAUGGUAGAGGCAGUCAUGUACUGGUAAACCAGCUCAAAAAAAAAAAAAAAAGAAAAAGAAAGAAAGAACACUCCAAAUUGUAGCAUUUGUUGAUUCACCAUGACUGAUUUCAAGCUACCAAUAUUAUCAAUAUAAUAUCAUUAUGCAUGGGAUAUGAAAAAGCUAAGAAUAAUCAGCUCUCAGGAACUGGAAUGAGCUAGCUUCAACAGUGUGCUACUGAGUACUAUGGUAAAUACUUUAGUCAAGUCUCCCCCAAAGUGCCACGUGUUAAAGUCUUUGUUGCCAGCCUAGGGCACUGUUGGGACUUAGUGAGACAUUUUGGAGGUAGGGCCUAGUGGAAAGAAGUUAAGUCAUUGGGUGUGCUCUUAAAGGGGAUAUUGAGAUCUCAGCCUUUCCUCUUCAUUUCUUUUUGUUUCUUGACUGCCAUGAAAUGAACAAUUUUCUACUAUAUGCAUUUCUACCAUGAUGUACUACUAUCCAACCACAGGCCCAAAAGCAAUGGAGCCCACCAAGCACAGAGAAAUUCUGAAACCUUUUUAUCAAUUGUUUAUAUCAGGUAUUUUGCUACAGUGACCCAAAGCUGACUAAUAUACUGAGCAUGGGCAAAGGUCAUCAGAAUUACAAUUUUGUUUUUUGAGAUGGGGUCUUUUAUAUUGCACAGGCUGGCCUCAAACUUGCAAUCCUCUUGUCUCAGCUUCCUGAGUAGCUGGCAUUAUAAGCAUGCAUCAACAUAGCUGGCAUUGGAAUUAAAUAAGUAUGUGAAUCACAAAACUAUAUUGUUGUAUGUGUCAUCAUCUGAAGCCAUUGGAAUACAGAAUUAAGUUAUGUGUUGGUGUAGAAGAAUGUGACUUUGGGGUUGGGGUUGUAGCUCUGUGGUAGAGUACUUGCCUCACACAUGUGAGGCCCUGGGUUCAG